UAACCUUUUGUCGUUUUUUGCCUUAACUAACUUGUCACCAACAGUCUUCCUUGUAAUAGUUUAAAAAACAAAACAUUUUUUUUUUUAAUUUUUUGCAUAAUCAAAUGAAAAUAACGGCAAUAUUGGCACUCAAUAUUGUAGCUUGCUGUAAAUAUCAUUUUAUCGACCUGUUAACAGAGAACUAGCCUCUUUAGCAGGCAAAGCCGGAAACAGAAGCAAAAACAAUUUCGACAUUGUUGCUAAAAUGGACAAUGAAGAAAGCAACUUGCACGAAGUUUGCCGUGUGUGUGCCAACAAAAUAAAGGACAAGAAGCGCCAGCGGCAUAUCUUUAAUUAUUUGCGGGGCAAGUUACUACAAAAUCUGAAGCUCAUUACUGGAGUCGAGCUGUCGAUGAACGAAGGCUUGCCCAAAUUUAUUUGCGAUCGAUGCUAUUCCGAACUUGAUUUGGCCAUCAAGUUUCGCGAGCGCUGUAUCUUUUCGCAAAAGUAUUUGGAGGAAAUGCUUACAAAGGUCCGCAAGGAAUUUGUAGUAAACACGGCCGAACGGGAGCUAUACGAGGACUUGAUCGAUGAGGAACAGCUGGAGUACAUUGAUGAAGAUGUGCAGUUUUUAGAAGAUACCGAUGUUGGAAAUCUAUUUGACGACAUUAGUGCAGAGAUUACUGAGGAUGAAGUUGAAGAAACUGGACAUGCAGAAGUAAACGCGGAAGAGGAUCAGUCGAGAAGCGAGAAACGGCAUUGGGUAUUGUUGGAAGACAAACGGCCCGCUAAGCGGUUACGUCAUUUUUUUAUAUGCGAAGAAUGUGGAGAAUAUUUUAAGAAUGAGUACGAUUACAAUGAACAUAAAGAAGGACAUUUGGAAAACAAAGAAUCAAAGAGAUUUUUUCCCUGUUACAAAUGCCCGGCGACCUUCAAAACCAGAAUCGCGUUGAAACUUCAUCGACGGGAAGAACAUUCCGGAGAGCGUAAUUUCAAGUGUGCAACUUGUGGCGAAACAUUUCUAGAACACAACGCCAAACAGCGCCAUGAGAAAGCGCACAUCAAUGAGAGACCCUACCCUUGUCUAGAAUGCGAUAAAAUUUUUAAUAGCGUAUCCGAGCUACGGGCGCAUUCCACUAACCAUGCAAUGCGGAAAUUUAGGUGCGAGCCUUGUAACAUGGACUUCACAAUGCGCAAACAUCUCGUAGCGCACUCAAAUACAUAUCCACAUAAACGCACUGUGCAGCAAAUGCAGGAUGAAAUUGAUAUGCUAUAUGGGGAGACAGAGGAGGAAACGGAGAUUAUUUAAUUUAUAUUUCCAGUAUUAAAAUAGGUAUAGUUCAAAUUGCAAAAAUAUGCUUGUUAAAGUAAGUCAGUAACAGAAGAUUUAUUUAAUAUAAUGUUAACAAGAGAGAGAGAGAGAGAGAGAGGGAGAGAGAGCUUUCAGCAAGGCGCCUGCGCAUGGGAGGCCGCUUUUCAACAACAUAAGUAGCCUUAUAAAUGGGGGUACAAAAAGAAUUUUGUGUGUAUUCAGUGUAUUCAACUGGUUGCCACCAGUUCACAGUGACCAGCUCAAUAUAGUUAUACAUACAGGUACGGAAAUACAGCUGGUGCAGCCGAAAAAUCAAUAAGACCACAAACUUCUACGUAAGCAGUGAUACGAGUAUUAUAAAUGCGCAAUAUGCUAUCCCAGUCAAAAGCUUUAGGCACGAUGCUUGGCUGCUUUAUUUUGCUGGUGGGCAGUGCUUCUCAAGUGCGUGCCUUUGACUCCAAAGACAGCAUC